GUUUAAAACACAUGGUAUCCAGAUAGAUAGAUAAGGUACCUUCAUUUGUUAACUCGCACAGCUUAGCGCAGCAAUGCCGGCGGUGGCGUCACUAUCGCCACCGGCGCCGGGGCCGGCCGCAUCGCGUCGCCGGAGGUUCUCCCCCGCGUCGGCGUCGCUUCGCCGCGCCGCAUCCGGAGGGGGCUCGAGCUGGCGGGGCGAGCGGCGCCUCAUGUCGGAGCUGGAGCGCACGGUGACGGCGGGCGCCGCGGAGCGCGUCAUCCGCGGCUACGUCGGCACCAAGUCGGAGCGCGCCGCCCUCGCCGCGCUCUCCCGCCUCCUCAUGGACUCCGACCCCCUCGCCGUCCCCUUCUACGAGGCGGUGACCCAGGCCCGGUGGUUCAAGUGGAGCUCGAUCCACGCCGCAGCCGUCGCCGCCUUGCUGGAAGCCAACGGCCGCGCCGACGAAUCCAGAUCCCUCAUCGCCGACUCCGCCGGGCGCCUCGAGUCCACCGCUGAGCUGGCCCUCUUCUACUGUGACCUCAUGGCGGCCUUCUCCUCGCGCGGGCUGAAGCGCCGGGCCAUGGAUUUCUACGCGCAGCUCCGGGCGAUGCCGACGCCGCUCGCCGGGGGCGGCAAGACCUACAUGGCCAUGAUUAAAUCCCUGUGCAUGUUGGGCCUCGCCGCCGAGGCCGAGGAGGCGCUGCGGGAGAUGGUCGCUCUGGGGUACCAACCUGAUGCGUUUCAGUUCGGAUUGGUGGCGAAAUGCUAUGGGAAGGCAGGCCAAUUGGCUGAGAUGGAGAGGGUGAUUGCGUCCAUGUCUGAAGCCGGCAUCCGCCUGGGCACCGGCGCGGCGAACAUUGUCCUCUCGUGCUACAGCGCUUGCCGUGAGCACGGAAAGAUGCUAGCGUGGCUGAAGAAGAUGCGGAAGCUGCGCGUUGCGCCGACAACCAAAGCCUACAAUUUCGUGCUCAACUCGUGCCCGACGGUGGUGUCGAUGGCUCGUGAACUGGGCCCUUCGCUCCCGUUGUCGGCAGCGCAGUUGGUGAGGAAGCUCAAGUCUGCAUCUCCAUGGCCGGCAGAAGUUGAGGUGGUGCAGGAGCUUCUGGCAGCCUCAUCAGUGUUGAACAAGGCGAUGGUUUGGUCAGAAACUGAGGUGAAGCUGAACCUGCAUGGGUUCAGUAUAACAUCAGCCUAUGUGCUGAUGCUGCAGUGGGUGGACGCAGUGAGAGGGGGCCGCGCAUUGCCAUUGGAAGUGUCUGUCGUGUGCGGCGUCGGGAAGCACAGUGACGUCCGAGGCGAGCCCAAAGUGCGGGAGCUGGCACAAGAGGUUCUGAGCCGGAUGGGAAGCCCCCUGCGGCUGUCCGCGAGGAACAAAGGCCGGCUCGUGGCGAAGCGAGACAGGGUGAAACAAUGGCUGGCCACUGAGUGGACUUCUGUGGUGCCUGAGGACAGCACAGAUCAGUCACCCAAUGCGAGCAAUAAGCAACCAUUUUUACCUAAGCUUUUGAGGAAACUCGGGCAGUUUUUUUCCUCCUUUGUGUCGGUUUCCAUAUGAGUGUCAAGCUGUUCAUUGUAGAUUAGGAAGUUCAGAGUUGGCAUAACAUCUUUCUUAUGUUGUGUGAAUGAUACAAGAUGGGCUUAGUGCAUGAAUGUACCUAAACCCAUCAGUGCAUAUUCGACUUGCCUCUCAAGUCCUCAGCCAACUACUUGACGAAACCUAUUGAAAAUGUCAAGUUUAAUUGUUCCUAGUAAGCUCAGUUGGGACUUGGGGUUUUCAAGCUUUGCACAAAAACAUUUAUUAGAUCUCUGGUUGCUGAUGCUAAACUUAUUCAACAGGAUUACAAUAAUAACUCUACCUCUUGGUGUAUAAGACAUUGGUGAAGUUAAGGAUUUUUAUGAAGGGAGGUUCUUCUGGAGCCUUGGGUUAGCUCCAACUUUGGUGGAAACUAAAGUUGGAGCAUUCGCUGCUCACCUUUGAUGAAUUUGGGGUGGCCACCUGGAGAUAAAAGAAAAGGAAGGUGAAAUUCAGUAAAUUACACUUUCAAAGGAGUAGUACAUAAUUGAUGGAAUGAUUGCAUCAAAAGUACCUAUGCAUC